AGUGAACGCUGGCGGUAGGCCUAACACAUGCAAGUCGAACGGCAGCACAGUAAGAGCUUGCUCUUACGGGUGGCGAGUGGCGGACGGGUGAGGAAUACAUCGGAAUCUACUUUUUCGUGGGGGAUAACGUAGGGAAACUUACGCUAAUACCGCAUACGACCUACGGGUGAAAGCAGGGGAUCUUCGGACCUUGCGCGAUUGAAUGAGCUGAUGUCGGAUUAGCUAGUUGGCGGGGUAAAGGCCCACCAAGGCGACGACCCGUAGCUGGUCUGAGAGGAUGAUCAGCCACACUGGAACUGAGACACGGUCCAGACUCCUACGGGAGGCAGCAGUGGGGAAUAUUGGACAAUGGGCGCAAGCCUGAUCCAGCCAUACCGCGUGAGUGAAGAAGGCCUUCGGGUUGUAAAGCCCUUUUGUUGGGAAAGAAAAGCAGCAGGUUAAUACCCCGCUGUUCUGACGGUACCCAAAGAAUAAGCACCGGCUAACUUCGUG
rnacentral:rRNA from 1 species